ensembl:lncRNA
UACCGGGAUAUAGGUUAAUGAAUAUGGCCUAGGGAAGAUGAGUGGGCUGUCCUGGGGGGCUGUACCGGGAUAUAGGUUAAUGAAUAUAGACUAGGGGAGAUGAGUGGGCUGUCCUGGGGGGUUGUACCGGGAUAUAGGUUAUUGAAUAUAGACUAGUGGAGAUGAGGGGGCUGUCCUGGGGGGCUGUACCGGGAUAUAGUUUAAUGAAUAUAGACUAGUGUAUAUAGGUUAAUGAAUAUAGACUAGUGGAGAUGAGGGGGCUGUCCUGGGGUGCUGUACCGGGAUAUAGGUUAAUGAAUAUGGCCUAGGGAAGAUGAGUGGGCUGUCCUGGGGGCUGUACCGGGAUAUAGGUUAAUGAAUAUAGACUUGGGGAGAUGUGGGGGCUGUCCUGGGGGGCUGUACCGGGAUAUAGUUUAAUGAAUAUAGACUAGUGGAUAUAGGUUAAUGAAUAUAGACUAGGGGAGAUGAGUGGGCUGUCCUGGGGGGCUGUACCGGGAUAUAGGUUAAUGAAUAUAGACUAGUGGAGAUGAGGGGGC